rnacentral:rRNA from 1 species
GGUGCUUGCACCUGGUGGCGAGUGGCGAACGGGUGAGUAAUACAUCGGAACAUGUCCUGUAGUGGGGGAUAGCCCGGCGAAAGCCGGAUUAAUACCGCAUACGAUCUACGGAUGAAAGCGGGGGACCUUCGGGCCUCGCGCUAUAGGGUUGGCCGAUGGCUGAUUAGCUAGUUGGUGGGGUAAAGGCCUACCAAGGCGACGAUCAGUAGCUGGUCUGAGAGGACGACCAGCCACACUGGGACUGAGACACGGCCCAGACUCCUACGGGAGGCAGCAGUGGGGAAUUUUGGACAAUGGGCGAAAGCCUGAUCCAGCAAUGCCGCGUGUGUGAAGAAGGCCUUCGGGUUGUAAAGCACUUUUGUCCGGAAAGAAAUCCUUGGUUCUAAUAUAGCCGGGGGAUGACGGUACCGGAAGAAUAAGCACCGGCUAACUACGUGCCAGCAGCCGCGGUAAUACGUAGGGUGCGAGCGUUAAUCGGAAUUACUGGGCGUAAAGCGUGCGCAGGCGGUUUGCUAAGACCGAUGUGAAAUCCCCGGGCUCAACCUGGGAACUGCAUUGGUGACUGGCAGGCUAGAGUAUGGCAGAGGGGGGUAGAAUUCCACGUGUAGCAGUGAAAUGCGUAGAGAUGUGGAGGAAUACCGAUGGCGAAGGC